AACGAACGCUGGCGGCAUGCCUAACACAUGCAAGUCGAACGAGACCUUCGGGUCUAGUGGCGCACGGGUGCGUAACGCGUGGGAACCUGCCCUUAGGUUCGGAAUAACUCCCCGAAAGGGGUGCUAAUACCGGAUAAUGUCUUCGGACCAAAGAUUUAUCGCCUUUGGAUGGGCCCGCGUUGGAUUAGCUAGUUGGUAGGGUAAAAGCCUACCAAGGCGUCGAUCCAUAGCUGGUCUGAGAGGAUGAUCAGCCACACUGGGACUGAGACACGGCCCAGACUCCUACGGGAGGCAGCAGUGGGUAAUAUUGGACCAUGGGCGAAAGCCUGAUCCAGCAAUGCCGCGUGAGUGAUGAAGGCCUUAGGGUUGUAAAGCUCUUUUACCCGGGAUGAUAAUGACAGUACCGGGAGAAUAAGCGCCGGCUAACUCCGUG
rnacentral:rRNA from 1 species